rnacentral:tRNA from 1 species
GCCCGGAUGGUGGAAUCGGUAGACACAAGGGAUUUAAAAUCCNUCGGCGUUCGCGCUGUGCGGGUUCAAGUCCCGCUCCGGGUACCA